GUGGGAAUCUGCCUUUUGGUUCGGAAUAACACGAGGAAACUUGUGCUAAUACCGGAUAAGCCUUUACAGGGAAAGUUUUAAUGCCAAAAGAUGAGCCCGCACUUGAUUAGCUAGUUGGUAAGGUAAUAGCUUACCAAGGCUACGAUCAAUAGCUGUUCUUAGAGGAAGACCAGCCACAUUGGGACUGAGACACGGCCCAAACUCCUACGGGAGGCAGCAGUGGGGAAUCUUGCACAAUGGGGGAAACCCUGAUGCAGCGAUGCCGCGUGAGUGAAGAAGGCCUUUGGGUUGUAAAACUCUUUCGUCGGGGAAGAAAAUGACUGU
rnacentral:rRNA from 1 species